GUCACUUUGCCGGAGUGGUUAACGGGAUCGCCUGCUACACAGCAGCUCAGCGGUUGGGCUUUGCCCGCGUGUGUUCGAAUCGCACAGGUGACG
rnacentral:tRNA from 1 species